CCUGCUUCUCCCUCUGCCUGCUGCUCUUCCUGCUCAUUCUCUCUGUCAAAUAAAUAAAUAAAACCACGGGAAAGGACUGGGGAGUACGUCAUUCCUGCCUGCCUUAAUCUAAUGUCUGAACGGCACAAAAACAGUCGUGCGAUUCUUGCCAGCUGCAUGCUGGAGGCUGUGCCAGUUCCCUAGAUGCCUAGAUCUGUGGAGCAGACCUCACCGUGCCCCUCACUGCACCCCAGGUUCCUGGGUCACCGAGUUCCUCAUUUUCUAUCCCCAGGUGACCGAGUUCAGGUGGAGAUGACACCAGUGCUCUGAAGCACAAAACAGGAUAGCUUUGAUGAACAAUUAUUUCAAGAGGCUCCCUAUUCUCCAGUUUCCUCUGUUUUCAGCCCAGUGUAGGGGUGGGUGGGGGACAGGGUUUGACUAAGAAGGAGGGGAAAGUGGGUUUGGCUGACUGUGGGCCAAACCAGCUGGAGUAUCUGUCUGAACCUACCUGGAAAGGCAGUGGGUCCUGGGAGGUGUUUGGGAUGUGGGCUCCUAGCCUGGAGGCAUGUGACUGGCCUCACUCAGGCUGAUCAUUUAUCAAGCACCUACCAUGUACAGGCACUGGGAAUGCAAAUAUGCCUUCGACCAGGCUCCUUUUUAGAAGAGCUAAUGGUCCCAAGGGGAAGAAAGGCAUGAAAACAGCUUUAGUAGCAUUUAGUACCAUGAAGCCUGUGUGCCCAGGGUGCUGUGGACGAGAGCCACCUGGGGGUAUAGGGUGUCCUGUCCGGAGCAGGGGCCUCUCUAAGCUGAGCUUGCCAGGUGCAGAAAGGUGUAAAGGGAAUUCUAGGGAAGGUCUGGAUAAAUCCGUUUUGCAGAUUAUUGAGUAUCUACUAUGUGCCAGGUGCUGAAAAGCCCACAGAAGCAUGGGAGGGCACAAUGUCUAAGGCAGCAAGCAAUUUAAUCUCUGUAGAUAAUUGCAUUCUGGGAAGUGAGCGGAGAUGCGGAGUAGUAAGCUGGUAAUAAAAAUAUUUUAAUUUGUCUUGAUUGUUCUAUUUAUUGACUGCACAUUAUUGGGUUGUGUACAACCAUCUUACCUACAUCUUGUUUUGUUUUUUCAUUUUAGCCUCAAAACAGCCAUCUGAGGUAUGGACUGCUUUAUUAAAGGGGUUGAAACAUUCGGAGAAGUUGACUAACUUGUCCAAGAUCACACAGCACAUAAGUGGUAGAGCCAGAAUUUGAACACUGAACACCGAAGACCCGGUGCUCCCAAGCCACAUGAAGAACUUUUGAUUUCUUUUCAAAGGGGAGAGAGAACCAGAGCAAGGAAUUUGGGGGCACCAGUUCGUAGAGCAUGUGACUCUUCAUCUCCAGGCCGUGAGUUGAAGCCCCACUUUGGGCGUGGAGCCUACUUAAAAUAGAUAAGUAAAUACUUUCCUAAAUGUUCAGGAAUUCUAUGAGCUGUUUAUUAAAUAACCAUUAAAAAAACUGAACUAUAUAAACCCACAAUUGAAUACGUUAUAAUAAAAACAAAGGUCAUAAAUACUCAAAACCUAAUCAUUUCCUAAUUAUUUCACUACAUUACUAUUAUCUGUGCCCUUGAGGUUAUUUACAUCUAUGAAUGGUGCAAAUAAUAGUAUCAUUAGUAAUGGUAUCGCAUAGUCAUAGUGUUUAUUAUAUAACAUAAUGGCAAAUAGCAUAUAAUGCUACCAAGCAUCUCUUCCCAAUGCCAUAUUCUGGGACAUCGCAUUGGUGGCCUGAAAUUGCUCAAAGUGGGGACUGUUUACAUCAUGGCAAUUGGCAGACACUACAAAUCAUGGUUGUUCCCCAGCAGCAGCCCCAGAGAACUAGUUGUUUUGUGUUUAUUUACCAUAUAUCAUUGACUAAGGGCAUUCUGAGGCUCCAGAUGUGACUGUGGGAGUCUUGACAAACACCUUCCAGCUGUGUCAAAGGUCUGGCCUUCCUUCUGCCUAAGGGGAUAGUCUGUUUAUCACUGGACCAAUUAGCCAAGGAAUUUAGAGCAUUGGAUUCAAUCUUUUUUGUUUCUAAUCUAUUGCCAGGUGCCACCGAUGGGCAGGAUAAGGAACAUGAGAAGAUUCAGUCUUGACUUCUGGAGACAUAGGGGGGCUCCAUUGAUUUCUUCUGAAAACAUGGCCAGACAGGGUCUCAGCCUUGCCCUGCUGGCCCUUCCAGAGCCCUCCUUCAGUCAGAAGAGAAGGACUGGGUUGAGGAUCUGACCCUGGCCCAGCUGGCGCCAGGCAACUGGCGUUGGAGCCUCUCUCUAGGCUAACGGGCAAGGGUCAGUUUUUCCCCGGGGGCGUCUUGGGACAUCUUUCACUUGCAAACUGGCCAGUAGCCAAGGUCUGGAUGCUGGUUUCAAGGUUUGGAGAAGUCUGGGAGCCAUUUUCUAGUGAGGCAUUUACAGACAUCCUGGGGUUGUAGCGUGGGGAGCAGGGCAGAGCCAGAUGCUGCAGAUCCCUCUCCUGGCAGUGUUUACUCCAGGACAGCUCGAGGGAAAGGAGACCUGCUGGUCUUUGGAGACCAAGACAGAGGGAAAUGUAGUGGUGGGUUGAGUCUGUGGAUUACACCCCCACCCCGCCCCCGCCCAACCCCAGUCCAAACCUUCCAGGUACGGGCAGGGAUGCCUGUUUGGAUCCAACAAGAUCUUUUGCUCCAUUUUCAAAAUAUAGACAAUCCCACCAUUUCUCACCAUCUCCACUGCAAUGGCCAAGGGGGCUGAGCCACCAUGACCUCGCUCUCCUGGACCAGCACAACCACCUCCGCCCUUCCCCAGCUCUCAUCCCUCUCACACCAGUCUCCACUCAGCAACUAGGGUGGUCUUGAAAAUACAAACCAGGGGUGCCUGGGUAGCUCAGUUGGUUGAACAUUUGACUCUCGGUUUGGACUCAGGUCCUGAUCUCAGGG